rnacentral:lncRNA from 1 species
UAUAUUUAUUGUGACACAUUUUGUAUAUUUUUAUUUUUAUAGGCUGGAUACGCAUCGGUUUUACUGCAUCAAAAUUCAGUUUAUUUGAAAAAUUUCAACAAUUAUGCUAUGAAUAAACUUAUACCAUUAGAUUUAUUGAAUAUGAAAUCAAAGAUAAAUUUUGGUAAUAAAAAAAAAAAAAAAAAAAAAAAAAAAAAAUGCGCUUGUUUUUUUUUUUCUAGUAUAAUGUAGUAACACGUUAAAAAGAGUGUAUAUGUAUACAUGGAUAUAUGUAAACAAUUAUGACUGUAUACAUUUUCUUUAAUUUUUUAGAAUAUACAAAUGUCAUGUUUGGAUUGUUACUAAAAGCUGUCAGCUCGUAUUUGAACUGCACAAUAAAUGAUUUACUUGCGGUUUCUAGAUGUAUUGAAAAUGUACUAAGAAUGUUUAUCUAGUAUAUGUAAUAAAAAAUUUGCACUAUACA